UACGUAGGGUGCGAGCGUUGUCCGGAAUUAUUGGGCGUAAAGAGCUUGUAGGCGGUUUGUCGCGUCUGCCGUGAAAGCCCAGGGCUUAACCCUGGGUCUGCGGUGGGUACGGGCAGACUAGAGUGCGGUAGGGGAGACUGGAAUUCCUGGUGUAGCGGUGAAAUGCGCAGAUAUCAGGAGGAACACCGGUGGCGAAGGCGGGUCUCUGGGCCGUAACUGACGCUGAGGAGCGAAAGCGUGGGGAGCGAACAGG
rnacentral:rRNA from 1 species